rnacentral:lncRNA from 1 species
AUAAUGAAACGACGGAGAGGGCGGCGGCGGCUGAUUUUUAUUUUAUUUUUUUCUUCGACGAGGGUACUUAUUUGCAAAACCAAAACCAUCAUGUGGGCAGGUCAGACCCGUUACAGGCUAAUGUAAGACCUAAAUUGAGUUUAGGUAACCUAAUGACACACUUUGGAAGUUUAUGGGCCGGGAUGACCACACCUUAAAAAGUUUAGGGACCGAAGGCGUACUUUACUUAUCUUUUAAUAUCAUCAAGAGCUAACAUAUAGCCAAUGGCAGAGCACCUAGUGUGGCGAGGU